rnacentral:rRNA from 1 species
UCAGGGUGAACGCUGGCGGCGUGCCUAACACAUGCAAGUCGAUCGGAGCAGCAAUGCUUAGAGGCGAACGGGUGAGGAAAACGUAGUAACCAACCCUUUAGACUGGGAUAGCCACUGGAAACGGUGGGUAAUACCGGAUAAGCUCGAGAGAGGAAAGGCAGAGAAGCGCUAAAGGACGGAACUGCGCCCCAUCAGAUAGUUGGUGAGGUAAAGGCUUACCAAGUCAAAGACGGGAAACCGACGUGAGAGCGUGUACGGUCACAAGGGCACUGAGAGACGGGCCCUACUCCUACGGGAGGCAGCAGUGGGGAAUAUUGGACAAUGGACGAAAGUCUGAUCCAGCGACGCCGCGUGGAGGAAGAAGUCCUCGG